rnacentral:rRNA from 1 species
GACGAACCGUGCGAACGUUAUUCGGAAUCACUGGGCUUAAAGCGCGUGUAGGCGGGACGGCACGUCGGUCGCUGAAAUCCCCCGGCUCAACCGGGGAACGGGCGCCGAUACGACCGUGCUGGAGGGAUGUAGGGGGACCUGGAACUUCCGGUGGAGCGGUGAAAUGCGUUGAGAUCGGAAGGAACGCCCGUGGCGAAAGCGAGGUCCUGGACGUUUUCUGACGCUGAGACGCGAAAGCCAGGGGAGCGAACGGG